rnacentral:rRNA from 1 species
AGUGAACGCUGGCGGUAGGCCUAACACAUGCAAGUCGAACGGCAGCACAGUAAGAGCUUGCUCUUACGGGUGGCGAGUGGCGGACGGGUGAGGAAUAUAUCGGAAUCUACUUUUUCGUGGGGGAUAACGUAGGGAAACUUACGCUAAUACCGCAUACGACCUACGGGUGAAAGCAUGGGAUCUUCGAACCUUUCGCGAUUGAAUGCGCGGAUGUGGAAUUAGUUGGUUGGCGGGUUAAUGGCCCACCCAGGCGACGAUCGGUAGCUGGUCUGAGAGGAUGAUAAGCGACACUGGAAGUGAGACACGGUCAAGACGACUACGGGAGGGAGCAGAGGGGAAUAUUAGACAAUGGGCGGAAGCAUGAUACAGCCAUACCGCGUGGGUGAAGAAGGCCUUGGGGUUGUAAAGACCUUUUGUUGGGAAAGAAAAGCAGCAGGUUAAUACGCAGCUGUACUGACGGUACCGAAAGAAUAAGCACCGGCUAACUACGUG